AGGGUUUGAUUAUGGCUCAGGACGAACGCUGGCGGCGUGCUUAACACAUGCAAGUCGAACGAAGCUUGAUUACGGAUUCUUCGGAAGAAGUAUGAUAUGACUGAGUGGCGGACGGGUGAGUAACGCGUGAGUAACCUGCCCUUCAGAGGGGGAUAGCGUUUGGAAACGAACGGUAAUACCGCAUAAUGUAUUUUGACCGCAUGAUCGAAAUACCAAAGAUUUAUCGCUGAAGGAUGGACUCGCGUCUGAUUAGGUAGUUGGUGGGGUAACGGCCUACCAAGCCGACGAUCAGUAGCCGGACUGAGAGGUUGAUCGGCCACAUUGGGACUGAGACACGGCCCAG
rnacentral:rRNA from 1 species